rnacentral:lncRNA from 1 species
GAAGCAUACACAUAGACCCAAAGCCUGAAGAGAUUUUAAGAGAACUAUAAAACCCAAAACCCAGUAAUUAUUCAACCUCUAAGGCAAUUCUCGGGCCCCAUAACUUGCACCAGUAAGAAGUGGGAUACCAACACUGUUUUACACCCCCAAAAUGUGUUUUCCCCGUGCCCAUAUAAAUAUUGCCAUGGGAGACACAAACUAAGAAAAUCCUUCCAGGAACAAACCUGGGCAUUGAAAGGUAACCCAACCAUGGGGCUAACAGUCAUAACUCCAUCCUAUCCCCAAAACUUCUCCAGCCCUGUGGAGUCUCUCAGUUGGAACUGAGAUGAGACUAAGCUGCGCCUCCCAGUGCAUCCCUCAAGAUGGCUCCAGAAGGCUGUGGCUCAAGCCCGUCCUCCUUUAGGUUAAUGCCUACAAUAAGUGUUCUUGAAAUACAGUCACGCGUUGCUUAACCAUGGGGAUAUAUUCUGAUAAAUUCAUCAUUAGGCGAUUUCAUCACUGGGCGAACAUCACAGCUCGUACUCACACAAACCUAGAUGUCAUAGCCUACUACACACCUAGGCUAUAUGAUAUAGGCUAUUGCUAGCAACAAACCUGUACAGCAUGUUACUGUCUUGAAUACUUAGGCAGCAGAGCACAAUGUUAUAGAAACAGAUGAUCAGUGGCCCACGGAUUCCAGGUGAGGAUCUGGGACCCAGACAUCCAGAUAUUGAAAACACAGGGAUGGAGUCUGUAUGGAAAAAAUUAAAAUAUAGCAAAAUGUGAAAUACGGAAGAGAAAUCUUUCAAUUUCCCAAUGGAAGUGAGAAAAGAGCAAAGAAAAGUAUUGGUCUUCCAAAACAAAUAGAGGACGGAGCUGCUGCUGUUGCAUGGUGUCUAGAAACUCAGACAACUUCAUCAUUCCAUAUUUGCAUCCAAGAGAGAGAAAGAAAAACUACAAUCAUUUUCCAUUUACCCAUCAACCCAUCAACCUCCAAAUAAAGGCUAUUAAAAAACAAUCAAAGUGUGAAGAGGGCAGAAAAUGUGAUGAAGAGAUUCUUUGGAGAAAGUAGCUGCCACUGUUACCUUGGGAUCUGCCUAUAGUCCUCACAGAGCUUGCCCUUGCAGGAUAGAACAUAGGAGUCUGGGAGUCUGCAAGAAGAGACAGGGUCUCACUAUGUUGCCCCAGUUGGCCUUGAA